rnacentral:rRNA from 1 species
UAGGGAAUCUACCACAAUGGACGCAAGUCUGAUGGAGCAACGCCGCGUGAGUGAAGAAGGUUUUCGGAUCGUAAAGCUCUGUUGUUGGUGAAGAAGGAUAGAGGCAGUAACUGGUCUUUAUUUGACGGUAAUCAACCAGAAAGUCACGGCUAACUACGUGCCAGCAGCCGCGGUAAUACGUAGGUGGCAAGCGUUGUCCGGAUUUAUUGGGCGUAAAGCGAGCGCAGGCGGAAUGAUAAGUCUGAUGUGAAAGCCCACGGCUCAACCGUGGAACUGCAUCGGAAACUGUCAUUCUUGAGUGCAGAAGAGGAGAGUGGAAUUCCAUGUGUAGCGGUGGAAUGCGUAGAUAUAUGGAAGAACACCAGUGGCGAAGGCGGCUCUCUGGUCUGCAACUGACGCUGAGGCUCGAAAGCAUGGGUAGCGAACAGG